rnacentral:tRNA from 1 species
GAGGGCCUGCGGCUCAGUGGUAGAGCAUCUGGUUAGAAUGCAGAAGGCUGCAGGUUCAAUUCCCAGCAUCUUCA